rnacentral:tRNA from 1 species
UAAUUAAAAAGUGAAUUUGCACCCUUAGCCUAAACCUGAGCCCAUGCUUAAAGUAUUUAAACUAU